rnacentral:lncRNA from 1 species
CUAUUACAAAUAAAGCUAUAGGAACAUUUAAAAAAAGAUGGAUAUUCUUUCUGCUUUAUUGGCUUAUAAUUUAAACAAUGGAUGUUUGAAAAAUUACCAACAAUAUUAUUUGCAUUAAAAAUGAUAUUUUUCUCUUGUUUUAUGAGACAGGGUCUGUCUUUGUCACUUAGGCUGGAAUGUAGUGGCACAAUCACUGCUUACUGCAGCCUUGAACUUCCUGGCCUCAAGCGAUCUCCUGCCUUGGUUUCCAUGUAGCUGGGACCACAGAUGGACCACCAUAUCUAGCUAAUUUUUCUUUUCUAUUUUUUUGUAGAAAUGAGGUCUCUGUAUGUUGCCCAGACUGGUCUUGAAUUCCUCAACUCAAAGGAUUCUCCCACUGUGGCCUCUCAAAGUGCUAGGAUUAAAGAGAUUGCCUUUUGUUGGCUUAUUUAUUUAUCUAUUUAUACAAAUCGAAGGUGAUGGUUACACUGUGUCCGGUGAGUCCGUAGGUACCAUUUUUCCAACUGUACAUGUUUAUAUGUUUCUGUGUCACAUUUUUAUAAUUCUUACAAUCUUUCAUUUUCAUUAUUAUUAUAUCUGUUGUGUUGUUCUGUAAUCAGUGUUACUCUUAGUAAAUAGCAUUACUAUUGUAAUUGUUUGGGACACUACAAACCAUGCCUGUAGAAGACAACAAACUUAAUUGAUAAAUGUUGUGUGUGUUUUCACUGCACAACUGACCAACUGUUUCCCUCUCUUCCUCUUCUCAGCUCCUGUAGUCCAUAAGACACAAAAAUAUUAAAAUUAGAACCACAAGUGUUCCAGUGAAAGGAACAAUUACAUAUUUCUCACCUUAAAUCAAAAAGUAAAAAUUAAGCAUAAUGAGGAAGGUUGAAAGCUGAGAGAGGCCAAAAGCUAGGUUUCCUGCACCAAUUAACCAAGUUGUGAAUGCAAAACAAAACAAAAAUGUUCUUGGAAGAAAUUAAAAGUGCUACUCCAGUGAACACAUGAAUUGCAAGAAAGUGAUCUCGCUUUAUUACUGAUACAGAGAAAGGACAAUAUGCUUUUAAGCCAAAGCCUAAACCAGAACAAUACCCUAACUUUCCUCAAUUCUGUGAAGGCUAACAGGUGAGGAAGCUGCAGAAUAAAAGUUGGAAGUUAGCUGAAGUUGAUUCAUGAAGUUGAAAGAAAGAAGCUGUUUUUGUAUCAUAAAAGUGCAAGGUAAAGUAGUAAGUGCUGAUGUGGAAGUUAUAUCAAUUUAUUCAGAAGAUCUAAGAUAAUUGAUGCAGGUGACUACGCUAAACAGCAAAUUUUCAAUGUAGUUGAAGCACCCUUCUAUUGAAAGAAGAUGCCAUCUAGAAGUUUUACAACUAGAGGGAAGAAGUCAAUACCCAGCUUCAAAGAUUCAAAUGACAUAGUGACUUUCUUGUUAUAGGCUAAUGUAGAUGAUGACUUUAAAUUGAAGCCAAUGCUCAUUAACCAUUUUUUAAAUCCUAGGGACCUUAAGAAUUAUGCAAAAUAUACUCUGCUUGUGCUCUAUAAAAUGGGACAAGGAAGCCUGGAUGACAGCACAUACAAUUAUUGUAAGAUUUCCUGAAUAUAGUAGGCCUAUCAUUAAGACCUACUGCUCAGAAUAAAAGAUUUAUUUCAAAAUAAUACUGUUCAUUGACAAUGUACAUGGUCACAUGAGAACACUAAUAGAAGUACCCAAGGAGAUAAAUGUUGUUUUAAUGUCUGCUAACAUAAUGUCCAUUGUGUAGCACAUGGAUGAAGAAGUAAUUUUGACUUUCAAGUUUUAUUAAGAAAUAUAUUUUGUAAGCUUAUAUUGCUACAGAUAGUGAUUCUUUUGAUAGAUCUGGGUUAAGUAAAUUAAAAACGAUCUAGAAAAGAUUUACCAUUCUAUUUGCCAUUAUAAACCUUCGUGGUACAUGGGAGGAGUUGAAAAUAUCAACAUUAACAGAAAUGUUCAAAGGAAGUUGGUUCCAACAUUCAUGGAGAAUUGAAGCACCAUUUAUUGCUGAUGGGAAUGCAAAAUAGAAUCCAGCCUUCAUGGAAGACUCUGAGGGGUUCAAGACAUCAGUAGUGGAAGUAAAUUGAGAUACAGUGAAAUUUCAAGAGAAGUAGAAUUAGUGUGGUUGACUGAUUUGACUUUAAUGAAAUAGCCUCUGCUGUUUUACUACUAAUCUAAUAUUGCUUUGGAUUCCUGUUAUAUCAUUUUUAUCAUAAUUCUUC